UCUGUUUUCUUGCCCUUAGGGAAUCACGUUUACUCCAGACUCGGAGCACUCAAGAUCUACGACGAUUUUCAUGUGCUAUUUAGGUUACGAUGAUUUUCGGAAACGCUACUUGUUUAGCAUGAGGGCGGUGGCUGGCUGAAAAGCAAAAAAAGGACAUAACGUAGUCAAAUCGUGCAGAAUGUCUACAUUUUUAAAUUAUUGUUAGAAGCCAAUAAAACAUGGGCAAGUAUAAUGUUGCUUUUAAAGUAAGUACUUAAAAAUUAGAAUGUCAUUUUAUAGAGUUAAUUCAUCUCACCUGU